rfam:Salmo salar isolate Sally breed double haploid chromosome ssa14, whole genome shotgun sequence.
GCCCAUGUGGCUCAGUUGGUCGAGCAUGGUGUUUGCAACGCCAGGGUUGUGGGUUCGAUUCCUACGGGGGACC